CAUGUGAUUAGGGCCCUCGAUCUGCAACUAAAACCUCUCCUAAAAUUUGAAGCCCCACUUGAUUCCCAACCGUCCGUUAAAGAUGGCAUCAUCAUCAACUACCUCCACCGCCGUCUCCCUCCUCUGCUCCGCAACCUCUUCCUCCAGAUUUCCAUUCAGUACAACUCUUCCCGCCAAAUCCUCAUCAACGCUCAAUUUUCGCGCCAACUCUCUCCCCGCCACCCAUGCAGCUUCGUCUUCUUCAGGUAAAGAUGAGAUUUUGGGGAGAAGAGGACUGGUGUUCACACUCACAGCCACACUGCCAUUGCUUCUUCCUUUCUCGGAAUCCAUGGAGGCCUUUACAGCCAAGGCGGUGGAGCCAGAUACAAGUGUAUAUGAGGUUAUGAAGGAAGAGAUUAGGAAAGUUGUGUCUAAGGGCAAAGCUGCUGGUGUGCUUCGUUUUGUAUUUCAUGAUGCAGGGACCUUUCAAUUGGAUGACAAUUCGGGUGGCAUGAAUGGUUCAGUCAUAUAUGAACUCGAUAGACCCGAAAAUAAAGGUCUUAAAACUCCUUUUAAGAUUUUAGAGAAAGCAAAGACUGAGGUGGAUGCAGUACAACCAGUAUCGUGGGCAGACAUGAUUGCUGUGGCUGGAGCUGAAGCAGUUUCAGUAUGUGGAGGUCCGACUAUCCCAGUUGCAUUGGGCAGACUAGACUCAAAGGAGCCUGAUCCUGAAGGAAAACUUCCUGAAGAAACUCUUGAUGCUUAUGGUCUAAAGCAAAGCUUUCGAGCAAAAGGCUUAUCAACUCAAGAACUUGUUGCUCUGUCAGGUGCCCAUACUCUGGGAAAUAAAGGUUUCGGAAGCCCAACUGUUUUUGACAAUUCAUACUUCAAAGUUCUUCUUGAGGAAUCUGUGUCCUCAGGUAGUAUGUCAAGCAUGACUGGACUUCCUUCAGAUCGCGCACUUCCCAAGGAUGAUGAAUGCUUAAGGUCUAUUUCCUCUCAAAAAACUUUAAGAUAUGUGUUUUAAGCAAUUGAGCUAGUAGAAUCAGUUACUCAAACAAGAAUCAGUAAUUCGCCUCUGCCAAGAUUUAAGAUGGAUAAAAAAGUAUGCCGACAAUGAGAACAGUUUCUUUGAAGAUUUUGAAAAGGCUUACAUCAAGUUGGUCAAUUCAGGAGCAAGGUGGAAGAGCUUGUGAAUAUUUGCAGCAGCAGAUCAUGUUUUUGAUUGGGCCUGCAGCCUGCUUCUGCAGAAAUGAAUACAGUAAAGAGUUGAAGAAGUAUACCAAAUGCGCAACCAUGGCCUCCUAUAAACAGUUAAAAGUGAAAGCAGGCUCAGGGUUGGUUGGGCACUUAAAUCCUCAAUAUAGAUGAUUUGCUGCGAACAUUAAUCAUAUGUUUAGCGGAAAGAGUGGAAGGUCUGAUGACCCAGACAAGACUUUAUCUUAUAUAAUCAUUAUUAUCCAUCAAAUGAUUCAGGUUCUUAUGCGUAA